UAGAUACUUAAUGCAAAAUGUUUUAGCAUCCAAACAUUUUCUUCAUAUAAAUAAAAGUAAUUGUAACCUUCAAACAAGUUCCUUUCUCCAUCUUUCUCAACCAGAGUUUCCCGAUAUCAAAUUAGACAAAACUAUCAGGGAGCAUUAUUAUGCACUUACAUAUUGGGAUAUUGAAGGAAACUAAUAUAAAUAAUUAAGGGCUU
rnacentral:lncRNA from 1 species